rnacentral:rRNA from 1 species
UACGUAGGUGGCAAGCGUUGUCCGGAUUUACUGGGCGUAAAGAGCGCGCAGGCGGUCGAUCAAGUCGCGUGUGAAAGCCCCCGGCUCAACUGGGGAGGGUCACGCGAUACUGAUCGACUCGAAGGCAGGAGAGGGUAGUGGAAUUCCCGGUGUAGUGGUGAAAUGCGUAGAUAUCGGGAGAACACCAGUGGCGAAGGCGAGCUACCUGGGCAUUGCUGACGCUGGAGGAACGAAAGCUAGGGAGCGAACGGGAGU